UACGGGCCAAUAUCAAUAUGCGACACCAUAUCGUAUCAAUUUUUUUGUUGGGCUGAUUCGCCUGCUAAUACCAACAUUAAGAGCCAUGCCUCCACUAGAGUAUCAAAGUUUAUUAAUUUAUUUAUCUCAACUUGAGAUAGCAUGGGAUCAUGGUGGCUCUUUUGUUGGAGUGCCCCGGUGGCUCUAACGGAUUUGGUCUAUUCCUGGUGUUAAGAUUGGUUAAGGUAUGGUGCUUUGUUAAUUAAUGAACUAUACUAUUGGUUAAUGUAUGGAGGUUGGGCUAUAGUAGUUUCAAACUUUACUGGAAACUUUUUCUCUGCCGGCCAAAAAAGUUCGAAGGUUUGGAAAACUUUUUGGGUGAAUUGGGGUAGUAAUCAUUACAUACUAGACAAAAACAUGGUAAAAACGUGGGUUUUUAUUUUUAUUUUUUGAGUAUGUUCUUCAAGAAAGGGAUGGAAAUGGAUGUAAAGGUGUGGACAGCCAUCCUAUUAACACCACUGUGGAAUUGUUGCGAGUGUACUAAGCUUUACCUGCUGAUAUUGCACAAAUUGAUGGUACGAGAUCAAAUAUCUUAUAGUUCAUUUCUCCCCAUGCUUUUUUUUUUUUUUUUUGGUCCCUUGUUUCUCAUUCCCUUUGUGGUGUUUUACUUAAAAUAUCUGUUAGAGUUUUCUAGGAUUAGGAUUAAGAUCUUGAAUUGCAUCAUUUUGUUACAUCAUCUGUGAUGCCAGUGAAGUUUGAUGAAUAGCAAACUUGCUUCUGUCUUUCUAUAAGAGUAUUGGUGAAGGUGGAAGCUGGGCUGAUCCUUGGCCUGACCACAGAUAGCAUGGUGCCCCAACAUAAUGAGCUUUGGGCAUUGCAACUGGUAGAGAAACUUUGGACCAUCUUUGAAGGUGUAAACCAAGCAUUGUUUCCUUUUUAUUCACAAGUUCUUCAGCUGCAAGACAUUUUCUGUAUUAAAUACAUGUUAGGCUUGUUCUCUUUUCAAUUUAUUUAUUGCACCAGGAGAGGAGGCAAAUUGUAGUUGUAUGCUGGGAUUUCUUGGUGUGCCAUAAGGGGUGAUUGGAGCAUAUAGUUGUCACAGUGAGAGCAUGCAUCUCUAUUCCUCCAUGUUUCGGCUUGAUUAACCUUCUUCAUAAUUCUGUAAAUGCAUCAUGCACAAAAUGUUGGACCUGGAAGGAAUCGUUUGACCAUCUCUUUAUUCAUCGUCCUUUUGCAAUAAAGAUUUGGAUUGGUUUCUUCAGUUUAUCUAGAGUUGCAUGGGUUGUUCCAAGAUCGAUAGGUCAAUUUUUCUUAGCUUUGCAUGGAGGGAGUAAGGGUAAAGUCGGGAAGUGGAUUUGGCAUCUGUGUUUAUUAGCAGAGUUAUGGAGUAUUUGGAUGGAGAGAAAUAGUCUUUGUUUCAGAAAUCGAAGGGGUUGCAUCUCAGAAGUUUUUAACAGGGUGAAAUUGAAUGUAAUGGAAUGGGUGUAAGCUUCUAAUGUAUUAGUUAUUGAUCAGUUUUCUGUUGUUUAGGAUUGUUAGGAGUCUUUAUAUGUUCUUUUUU